GAGCAACUAUUUGGAGUGCACAGCCUAUUGAACUACCUCAUUUUUGCCAAUAAGAGCUGGCUUUUCUGCCAUAGUGUCCUCUUGAAACCCCCUCUGCCUUGAAAAUGUUUUAUGGGAGACUAGGUUUUAACUGGGUGGCCCCAUGACUUGAUUGCCUUCUACUGGAAGAUUGGGAAUUAGUCUAAACAGGAAAUGGUGGUACACAGAGGCUAGGAGAGGCUGGGCCCGGUGAAAAGGCCAGAGAGCAAGCCAAGAUUAGGU
rnacentral:lncRNA from 1 species